rnacentral:misc_RNA from 1 species
AAUACAUCCCUUUUUCUCUACCUUAAGUCCUGCAGUUUGAUCUCCCUUAGCCAUGGCCUUUAGGUCACUCACAGCUAAUCCAGGGAUUGGCGCUGGCCAGCAACUGAUCAAGAGUGAUCGCAGCAUGUUAGCUCUUUCCGAUGAGAGUUCAAUGAUAAAACAAAUUCAGGCAACUCAUGCUCCUGAUGGCCGAGAGUUUGAUGUCAGACCUCUCCUCAAUAUUGUUGAAGACAUCCUGAGUCGUGCCACCCUUCAAGUUGAGAGCACUUUGAUGGCUACCCAAGCUCACGCUGAGCCGGAGGACAAGAAUCGUCAAGUCAAUUUCAUUGCCACGCUUGAAGCAUUGUCAUUCGUAAUUGACAGAAUUGCUUGUGAGAUUUCCUACAAGGCUUUUAGCGGAUCAGAUGCCCAUGCCACAACUAUGUCAUUAUUCAACAUGCUUUCAAGCUAUUCCUGGGAUGCGAAGCUAGUGCUGACCAUGGCAGCUUUUGCUUUAAAUUAUGGAGAAUUCUGGCUCCUUGCCCAGAUUUACUCCUCAAAUCCACUUGCCAAAUCAAUGGCAAUCCUCAGGCAAUUGCCUGUAAUCCUGGAACACACAGGCCCAUUGAAGCCUCGGUUUGAAGCACUUAACAAUCUGAUCAGGGUCAUGUUGGAGGUGACUAAGUGCAUAGUUGAUUUCAAGGAAUUACCAUCUAUAUAUAUUUCAACAGAAGUGCCUGCAUUGUCCACAGCCCUUGCCCACAUCCCAACUGCUGUCUACUGGACCAUAAGGAGUGUUGUAGCUUGCGCUACUCAGAUUACCAGUCUCACCACCAUGGGACAUGAGUUUGCAACCACUGAGGCAUGGGAACUCUCCACCUUGGCUCACAAACUCCAAAACAUAAAUGAGCAUCUAAAGAAGCAGCUCUCUAUUUGCCACCAACACAUAGAGGAGAAGAGAAACGUUGAAUCCUAUCAAAUGCUUCUGAAUCUCUUUGAUACAAUUCACAUUGACAACAUGAAGAUCCUGAAGGCCCUGAUUUAUGCCAAGGAUGACAUCCCACCACUUCUUGAUGGCUCUACCAAGAGAAGGGUUAACAUUGAUGUGUUGAGAAGGAGGAAUGUGCUAUUGCUUGUUUCGGGGCUAGACAUUUCCCACGAUGAGCUUUCAAUUCUUGAACAGAUCUACAAUGAGUCCAGGAUACACGCCACCAGGCUGGACAGUCAGUAUGAGGUGGUUUGGAUCCCCAUUGUGGACCGUACAUCCUGGAAUGAUUCUAUCCAAAAGAAGUUUGAGGCCCUGCAGGCUACAAUGCCAUGGUACUCGGUGCACCACCCAUUAAUAAUCGAAAAAGUGGUCAUUAGAUUCAUCAAGGAGGUGUGGCACUUCAGGAACAAGCCCAUUCUGGUGGUGCUUGACCCUCAGGGUAGAGUGGUAUGCCCUAAUGCACUACACAUGAUGUGGAUUUGGGGAAGCAAUGCCUUCCCUUUCACUAGCUUGAGAGAGGAAUCUCUCUGGAAAGAGGAAACAUGGAGGCUUGAGCUUCUGGUUGAUGGCAUUGACCCAACUAUUCUCAACUGGAUUAAAGAAGGAAAGUACAUUUUCUUGUAUGGAGGGGACGAUAUCGAGUGGGUGAGGAAGUUCACUAACGCUGCACGAGCAGUUGCACUGGCAGCACGCAUACCACUCGAGAUGGUUUAUGUGGGGAAGAGCAGCAAGAGGGACAAAGUCCAGCGAGUCAUAGCCACAAUCACCGUUGAGAAGCUCAGCUACGUUUGGCAGGACCUGACCAUGAUAUGGUUCUUUUGGACCAGGCUAGAAAGCAUGCUAUUCUCCAAGAUUCAACUGGGCAAGAUCGAUGAAUAUGAUCCUAUGAUGCAAGAAAUCAAGAAACUGCUUAGCUAUGACAAAGAAGGUGGAUGGGCUGUGCUCAGCAAAGGGCCUGACGUAGUGGUGAAUGGUCACAGCACCACAGUUUUGCCAACAAUACUAGAGUACGAUGUCUGGAAGGAGCAUAUACCAGUUAAAGGAUUUGAUUUGUCCUUCAAAGAACACCACGACAAGCUUCAUGGUGUUGCUCAUCCUUGCUGCCGUUUCGAGUUCCCAAGCACCGCCGGUAGGAUCCCUGAGCACCUGAAAUGCCCUGAGUGCCACCACGUCAUGGAGAAGUACUUCACUUUCCUCUGCUGCCACGAGGAAGGCAUUGCAGAGAUACCACAUUAAAAAUACAGCUACAUCUACAUUGAAUUCCCUGCUAUAUAGCAUUGCUGCUAAAUAAUGAUUGCUUUUAUGGCUCGAAUAUACUGUAACAAGAUUAAUAAAGUUCAUGAAAUUUUCAAAUUCAGCAAUGAGACAGAGAAAGGCUAAUGUCAACCGCAAGUGUGAUGAGGUAAAUAACUCUCUUCAACAUAGCUUAUGACUCUAGUGUAUAUCUCCCAUAGCUAUUCCUAUACUAGUUGUACUUCUCUAUAGAUAGACUUAUGUAUUCAAUGGACUUCCUCUGUAACCUUGUAUAUAUUCGUUGAGUGAUAUACAGUAUAGAGCUUUCAGUUUCCACGUGGUAUAAGAGCUUUAAGGCUCAUGCCAUCUUAACCAUAACUGACGCUUAAAUUGUCCCAACGAACUUGUCUUUUUCAACCAUUCCAAAUGUUUCCCAGUUUCUUCCCAUUAAGUUAACAUCUUCGAAUUAUAUAUUGUGGAAAACACAACUAUUUCCCUUGCUUCACGGAUACAAUUGGACCUGUUGACAAGAGCUCAUAUGCAAGAUUAUAAAGGGAUUUCUUCACCCGCCACACCAAAUGACAAACUGUCUCUGCAUGCAUGUUGGUGAACCAUAUUGUGAUUAUAGUUUAUACUGCACCAUUGACGUUUCAUUUGUUGUAAAUAAAG